rnacentral:rRNA from 1 species
GACGAACGCUGGCGGCGUGCUUAACACAUGCAAGUCGUACGGUAAGGCCCUUUCGGGGGUACACGAGUGGCGAACGGGUGAGUAACACGUGAGUAACCUGCCCACAACUUUGGGAUAACGCUAGGAAACUGGUGCUAAUACUGGAUAUGUGCUCCUGCUGCAUGGUGGGGGUUGGAAAGCUCCGGCGGUUGUGGAUGGACUCGCGGCCUAUCAGCUUGUUGGUGGGGUAGUGGCCUACCAAGGCGGCGACGGGUAGCCGGCCUGAGAGGGUGACCGGCCACAUUGGGACUGAGAUACGGCCCAGACUCCUACGGGAGGCAGCAGUGGGGAAUAUUGCACAAUGGGCGCAAGCCUGAUGCAGCAACGCCGCGUGCGGGAUGACGGCCUUCGGGUUGUAAACCGCUUUCAGCAGGGACGAAGCUUUUUGUGACGGUACCUGCAGAAGAAGCACCGGCAAACUACGUG